ensembl:miRNA Mir19b microRNA mir-19b
CACUGGUCUAUGGUUAGUUUUGCAGGUUUGCAUCCAGCUGUAUAAUACUCUGCUGUGCAAAUCCAUGCAAAACUGACUGUGGUGGUG